UAGUAAAUAUUUUAUUAAAAUAUUUGAUUUGCAAUCAAACAUAGUCAAAUGACUUUACUAA
rnacentral:tRNA from 1 species